GGGGUAUAGCUCAGUUGGGAGAGCACCUGCCUUGCACGCAGGGGGUCAUGAGUUCGAAUCUCAUUAUCUCC
rnacentral:tRNA from 1 species